UACGUAGGGUGCAAGCGUUAAUCGGAAUUACUGGGCGUAAAGCGUGCGCAGGCGGCUAUGCAAGACAGAUGUGAAAUCCCCCGGGCUCAACCUGGGAACUGCAUUUGUGACUGCAUAGCUAGAGUACGGUAGAGGGGGAUGGAAUUCCGCGUGUAGCAGUGAAAUGCGUAGAUAUGCGGAGGAACACCGAUGGCGAAGGCAAUCCCCUGGACCUGUACUGACGCUCAUGCA
rnacentral:rRNA from 1 species